rnacentral:rRNA from 1 species
CCUGGUGUCUAUGGCGGUGUGGAACCACUCUGAUCCGUCUCGAACUCAGUAGUGAAAUGCAUAUGCGGCGAAGAUAGUUGGACGGUUGCGUCCUGCAAAAAUAGCUCGAUGCCAGGU